CACGUAGGCGGACUGGAAAGUUGGAGGUGAAAUCCCAGGGCUCAACCUUGGAACUGCCUUCAAAACUAUCAGUCUGGAGUUCGAGAGAGGUGAGUGGAAUUCCGAGUGUAGAGGUAAAAUUCGUAGAUAUUCGGAGGAACACCAGUGGCGAAGGCGGCUCACUGGCUCGAUACUGACGCUGAGGUGCGAAAGUGUGGGGAGCAAACA
rnacentral:rRNA from 1 species